rnacentral:rRNA from 1 species
CACGUAGGGGGCAAGCGUUGUCCGGAUUUAUUGGGCGUAAAGAGCGUGUAGGCGGCCAGGUAGGUCCGGUGUGAAAUCCACAGGCUUAACCUGUGAAUGCCGCUGGAAACUGUCUGGCUAGAGUCCGGAAGGGGCGAGUGGAAUUCCUGGUGUAGCGGUGAAAUGCGCAGAUAUCAGGAGGAACACCAAUGGCGAAGGCAGCUCGCUGGGACGGUACUGACGCUGAGGCGCGAAAGCGUGGGGAGCGAACAGG